UACGGGGGGGCAAGCGUUGUUCGGAAUUACUGGGCGUAAAGGGCUCGUAGGCGGCCAACUAAGUCAGACGUGAAAUCCCUCGGCUUAACCGGGGAACUGCGUCUGAUACUGGAUGGCUUGAAUCCGGGAGAGGGAUGCGGAAUUCCAGGUGUAGCGGUGAAAUGCGUAGAUAUCUGGAGGAACACCGGUGGCGAAGGCGGCGUCCUGGACCAACACUGACACUGAGGAGCGAAAGCCAGGGGAGCAAACGGG
rnacentral:rRNA from 1 species